rnacentral:rRNA from 1 species
GAUGAACGCUGGCGGCGUGCCUAAUACAUGCAAGUCGAGCGAACGGACGAGAAGCUUGCUUUUCUGAUGUUAGCGGCGGACGGGUGAGUAACACGUGGAUAACCUACCUAUAAGACUGGGAUAACUUCGGGAAACCGGAGCUAAUACCGGAUAAUAUUUUGAACCGCAUGGUUCAAAAGUGAAAGACGGUCUUGCUGUCACUUAUAGAUGGAUCCGCGCUGCAUUAGCUAGUUGGUAAGGUAACGGCUUACCAAGGCAACGAUGCAUAGCCGACCUGAGAGGGUGAUAGGCCACACUGGAACUGAGACACGGUCCAGACUCCUACGGGAGGCAGCAGUAGGGAAUCUUCCGCAAUGGUCGAAAGCCUGACGGAGCAACGCCGCGUGAGUGAUGAAGGUCUUCGGAUCGUAAAACUCUGUUAUUAGGGAAGAACAUAUGUGUAAGUAACUGUGCACAUCUUGACGGUACCUAAUCAGAAAGCCACGGCUAACUACGUG